GGCAGAUGAUGUCCUUAUCUCACGAUGGUCUGCAGAUGUCCUCGUGGGAAUGUCAACAA
ensembl:snoRNA